rnacentral:rRNA from 1 species
ACAUAACUUAUUUCUAAAUUCAUGCUAUUUAUUUAACAUUAUUAUUAAAUCUUAAAAAAUAAAUAUUUCACUAAUCUUAUUUUAUUUUAAGUUAUAAAACUAUAAUCCAUAUUUCUUUAAAUAUUACUGCACCUUGAUCUAAUUAAUAUCAUAAAAUUAUUUUAAAAAUUAUUAAUAAUAUUUAAAUAAUGACGGUAUACAAAUUAUAAAUUUAAAUUAAAUAAAUUCGUGGGUUAUCGAUAAAAAUACAGAUUCCUCUAAUAAGAUAUAAAUUACCGUCAGGUUUUUUAAAUUUUG